GCAGGUGGUGCAGUGGUUAGAUCUUUCGCCUUCCAAGCAAGGGACCUGGGUUUGAAUCCCGGCUCCUGCU
rnacentral:tRNA from 1 species